rnacentral:rRNA from 1 species
ACGAACGCUGGCGGCGUGCUUAACACAUGCAAGUCGAACGGAAAGGCCCUGCUUUUGUGGGGUGCUCGAGUGGCGAACGGGGGAGUAACACGUGAGUAACCUGCCCUUGACUUUGGGAUAACUUCAGGAAACUGGGGCUAAUACCGGAGAGGAGCUCCUGCUGCAUGGUGGGGGUUGGAAAGUUUCGGCGGUUGGGGAUGGACUCGCGGCUUAUCAGCUUGUUGGUGGGGUAGUGGCUUACCAAGGCUUUGACGGGUAGCCGGCCUGAGAGGGUGACCGGCCACAUUGGGACUGAGAUACGGCCCAGACUCCUACGGGAGGCAGCAGUGGGGAAUAUUGCACAAUGGGCGGAAGCCUGAUGCAGCAACGCCGCGUGCGGGAUGACGGCCUUCGGGUUGUAAACCGCUUUCGCCUGUGACGAAGCGUGAGUGACGGUAAUGGGUAAAGAAGCACCGGCUAACUACGUG